UAUGAGACCUCGACAUCCAAACGUCGGUGGCCGAGCGAGUAGCCCCAGCCUCUAGCGUCUACCUCCCCUCGUCAGCGUUGUAGCACCAUAUGAAGCCGCACGCCCGUGUUGGUCCCUACCGCAAAUUGUCGUCGGCCAGGCCGUCGUUGAGCACCGCGUGCCGGAGCUUCACCAGGAGGCAUCCACGAGCUCUCUCCGUCAGGCUGUGUCGUGAGGUGAGAAGUCUGGCACAUCCUUCUUCGUUUUCUUUACGGCGCGGCAGCCUGCGUUGCGGCCUGGCUCCCAGCCGUUGUGCCCCACAUGCCCCGACUGCAUCCCGCCUUGCGAUGCCAUCUUCCUUGCGCGGCAGCGACACGGAGCAGGGUGGUCGUGCUCCAGCCAUGGCCAGCCCUCUGCGGCCGUGCCCCAGCCAUGGCGCAACCCGCGUGGCCGCCCCCUCGCUCAGCCAGCCAGCCGCGGUGGCACGACCAUGGCCCCUGCUCCCCUGCUUUGGCGAGCCCGCCCAUACUAGCGAGGCUAUCUUCCCCAUCCGAGCCCCCUGCCAUGGUCGAUCCCCCCUUCUCCCAUUACGGCUCCACUGUGGAAGAAGAAAACUAGAGAAGGAAGGGAACCGUCUGUGCGUGCGUUUGGAGAAAAAAUUGCUAGGCCACAUUGGAUCCCACCUCUGUUGAUCUUUUUUCUGUGGCUAUACACUACGUGACCAUCCAUGUGGCAAGUCUCCUGCCAAUAAAAACGAGCCAGUGAGCCACAUUGCCUAUAAUCCGCGACGUACUAAAAACCCAAUAUCUUUUACAUCAUAAUUCCGUUCGAAUCCGUUUCCAUCGCGUUAAUUUUAUAAUAACGUCGUGUACAUGUUAGUAACAUUAUUUUGGUCGUGAUACACAUUUUAGUUAAUUAGUUGAUUAUUUAUUUAUCCGAGUUAUUAAAGUAGUAAUUUACUCAAACUAAUUUAUAGUUUUAGUCGCGUUUUAUGGAUAUCUGUUAAUAUGAUUAUAUCUAUACAAAUGUUUUUGAAUUAAUACUUAUUUAGUAUAAACAUGAUAUCUGUUAGCAAUUCUCAUGUGUCGUGUGCGUCGUCGCACUGCCUGCGCGUUGUUCGCACGUGUGGCGCUCGUCGCUAUCGUGCUGUUUCGCGCGUCGUAAAUUCGCAUCGCUUAGAAGAUCUCGAGUUAAUUAAAUUACUUAUUUAUUUGAUAGUUGUUGGCAUUAUAGACUAAUUAAAGCUAGGUGAUAACUCUAGUUGCAUUAAAUAAAUAUCAAAUAAUGUGAGUACGUCGAAUUAAAUGUUCUAACUAAUACUUUUUAGAGUAAACACGAUAUCCUCUCGAUCGCAGCUUCGCCUACUGAGCUUCUUUUCCUCGUUUGACCGCGGUAGCAAGCUCUAUUUCGUAUUGCACGUUUUUAUAAUGGUUUCCUUUGUAUGGUGUAAUGUUCUUAUGCAUAUAUGUUUGUUUGCUUGUGCAUGUUUGUCUUUGCCGCGCGUCGCGAAUAGACUGUGAUCCAUUUCUGAGCUUCGAGGAAUCAACAGUCAAGUUUCGGCGACCAAGUGAUCUAGCUCUUCGAGUUCCACGAAGUAGAAGACCCUGAGCAUCUGUUUGGUGAAGGCAAGUGUCCUCUGACCCAUUAUGUCCUAUUCACUUAUAAUUCACUUUCCCGCAGUAUUUAAUUGAAAUCUAAGGAUUGACUAGCUUUAUACUUUACCUUAUCCUUGAUGACCUUUUGGGUGAUUAUGGUUAGCAUUUUGCUAUUGCCUUAAUUUAAUCAAUGAACAUGAUGUGACUAUUUAUGAUACGAUACUGUUAUCCUGAUUAUAUUGUUGAUCUGGUGAUACUCUAGGGGGCUCAGGCUGUUUCCUGAGUACCUCUCCGUAAGGACCUGUUCGUUUGAGAGACCACCCGGGAUAACAGUGCAACCAUGAGGGUGGAAUGGGGUGCCCUUAGCUAAUUAAUUAGAGGAACUAGAAGUGUAGUUGCUUCGCCGUCGUGCCGUCAAUGGGGUCCAGGCACAGUGCUUGCUCUGCCGAGGCUGAGUGCCGAGGUUCUUUCGUUUUGUCUUUUUUAGUCACCCUCCUGCGGGGAGAGGUACUGUGUUUAUCAAACUGGAGAAACCUAACGGGCAGCUAUGACCUCUAGGGAAUCUUUGUAAAGGCUUCGUAGUGAAUCCCUGGCCAUUCACCUUGGGAGUGAAUAAGGGUCUUGCAAGCCCGGGCUAGAGAGGGAAUCACGGCUCAUGGGUAAAGUGUGCGACCUCUGCAGAGGGUAAUGAAACUGAUAUAUCAGCCGUGCUCACGGUUAAGAGCAGCCUUGGGAUCCUCUUUGAUUAGAGAUACAUAUGAUCUGAGAUACAAUGGUUAUGUUUAUGGUUUUGGCUCGAUGAUGAUAAUGAUGUUUUCUCGAUGAGGAAAUGGUUCACGGGUUGGCUAUUACUAAAACUUGGCUUCCACUAAUAAUAAAUACUUGACCAACUAAAAGCAACUGCUAGAGCUUAACCCCACAUAAAGCUAGUCCACCUCAGCCAAACAGGACAUUUGCUGAGUACGUUGAUGUGUACUCACCCUUGCUUUCACAAAACACCAGGUUGCCUUUGGUGCAAUCUAUGCACCGGUAAAGAAGAAGGCGUCGAGGCGGUUCUCCAGGAGUUCCAAGACUUCGACGAGUUUGAGGAUUAGGCUAGCGACCUCCCCCAGUCAGCUGCCUGUGGUGGGUUUAUUUACAUUGGCUACGUUUCGAUUCUGUGUACUUUGAUUCAUAUUAUGUAAAUGACUCUAGUCUUUAAUAUCAUUAUUUAUUCUUUAUUGUUAUUCAAAGCAUUGCGCCAUGAUGAGUCAUUUAUGUAAUCGCUGUGUACGUGAAUUUCUGAUCCUGGCACGUGCAUGGUUCGCAUUCGGUUUACCUUCCAAAACCGGGUGUGACAUAAGUGGUAUCAAAGCCGUGCUGACUGUAGGACCGCUAGCCUAGAGUAGCAUUGGCCGUUUUAAGGACUUAUUGAUUAUUACUUCACCUCAUCUUGAUUCUGCUUCAAAAUAUUAGUCACCUCGACUAAUUCUACGUUAUGAUUCUAUAUAUCACCUUGCUAAAUGUAUUUUAUUCUAGUAUCAUCAAUGCUUUACUCAUUCAUUCUAUUAGAUCUGAUCUCACCCUUGUGCUUGCGACAUCUUUGUAGAUGACCCCUGACCAUAGCCUUUUGUAUUUUGGGAUUCUAUCCUCUUCCAGCAUUAAAGUGCUACCAUUUGACCAUCCCUAUUCCCUUGGUAUUGACAUGAUUGUACCCCUAGAUUCUUCAAUACUCUUGUUUCAAAUACUUACCUCUGAAAACUCUGUUGUCUAUUUAAACAUUCCAGUUUAUAUGUCCAUGAAUUUCUUGUCCUCUGAAAUCCCUUCUUAUUCCGUUGUUAAGAUUGUUAUCCUUUGCCUUUUCUAUUCCCUUGUCCUGGUAUGCCUGCAUCCUUAGGGUAUUGCAUACUCUUGUCUUUCUAGAUCUGCUUAUCUUUAUACCCUAAUGUUUGUUUAUAAACACUUCAGUUAACAUGCCCUUGACCACCCUUGUUUCUCGAUGAUCCAUGAGCAUUCAUUUUAUUUUGCACAUUCUUAGUGAUCUCGUUAAUUCCUUGUAGCUUCCUUCUGUAAUGAAUUUUUUACUUCAACCCUUCUGUUGGAACCAUACCUAUCUUACCCUUAAUUAUUUUCUCCACUUUGCCACUUCGUGAGUCCUGCCUUAACUCUAUCCCUUGUUAUGCUUUUCACGAUCAUCAUCUUUACCCUUGUUGCCUCCAUAUCUUACCUUGAUGACUAUCUUAUGUCUGUUAUCUAAAAUUCCCUCACCCAUCUUGAUUCGAGGGAAGUGUUUUACUUAUCCCGCCCUUGGUCGGAACCUCGUCUUUGCUAGGUGUGAGUCUUAUCUUAACUCCAUCCUUUGUUGUACUCAUACCACUGGCUCUUCUAUGCCUUCAUCUUUUCUCUUAUACCCUUGUCUGUUAUCUCCUUCGACCCUUGCGAUAUUUAUGUCUCCUACCUAAAUGCUUACCUCGAGCUUAUCCUUUAGAAGCCUUCCUUUUUUUUCAACCCAGUUUGAGAGCUGUUAGUUACCUAUCUCUCCUUUGAUUUCUUUUCGCUCCUUAACGCCUUACAAGUGUUGUGUUAAAUCCAUCCCUUGUUGUGUUUUUAUUUGUUAUCACCCUCACCUUGCAGUCCAUCGAUCUUGCCUUGAUACUCAUCUUUAUUCCUACUUCUUAAAAAUCCCCUCUCUUCCACCUCAAUUUGAGAGUGGUGAUUACCUAUCUGGCCCUUGGACAUACCCCUUCUUUUUCGUUUGCAUGCCAUGUCUUAAUUUCAUCCUUUAUGGUAUUUAUAUCUUUCGUUUUUAUGCCCCUAUAACUCCUCUAUUGCAUUCUUGUCUGUCAUGACCUUUAACCCUUGUAAUAUAUAUACCCUUGUAUUCGCGCUUACUUUGAACCUACUCUUCAAAACCUCCUCUUUUCCAUCUCUGCUCGAGGAUAAUGCCUCAUCUAAUUCAUUGUUGACUGCUUCCCCUUCUCUGACACCUUGCUAGUCCUGUUUAAAAUACAUCCUUUAUUAUGUGUUUGACUGUUAUCACCUUAACCCUUGUCAUCCCUUGAUCCUUACCUAGAUGCUUACCAUGUACCCAUAUCUUAAAGCCGCCCUCUCCCAUUUCAUUCCAAGAGUGAUGUCUUAUCCCUCCCCGCUCUUGUUCGUUCCUUAUUCCUCUAUCGCGUUGCAAAUCUUGUCUUAAUUCGGCCUUUUGAUAUGCUUUUGUCUGUUACCUCAUUUACCUUUGUCACCACUAGAUCUUUCCAUGAUGCUUAUCUAAUGCCUGCCUUUUGAAAUAUCAUCUUUCCCAUCUCGAUUUGAGAAUGGUGUUUUACCUAUCCUGGCCUUGGUUGCAUUCUCUCCCUAUCGGUUACAAUCCUUGCUUUAGCUCCAUCCUUUAUAAUGCUCAUGCCCCUAUUCGGCAUGACUUAUCAUUCCCCUUGCCUUUCGAUGGUCCCCUUGGUAAGGAAAGACCACCAUUUAAUUAAAAGUUAUGUAUAGCAACGAAAUGUUUGUUGAUGUAUGCUUGUGCUGUUUGUCUUUGUGUGAUGACUGAUUUGCUUCUUUGGAAUGAGUGUUGAUGUGUUGUGGCCCUUAAUCCGCAAUGACAUCAGUUUACUAGGUGAAUGCCAUAGAGUUAAGUAGUUGGGUUCUCCCCCUGCUCUCUCUAAUCCGUCUAUACUUACCUUUUCUCGCUACCCUUUCCUCUUGCACCUGUCCAUUUGGCAACCUCCAACUCCUCCAAAUCAGUCAAGAUCAGAGUCGGUAGCAUCUUCACCAAGUGCAUAUCAACGCUCCUGUUAAGGGGGUUAGCCGUUAACCCCAAUGAAGAUAAUGCGAUCAACAUCAACCAGCAAGAUCAGAGUGGCGCAGCGAAAGCGUGUGUGGGUCCUAACCCACAGGUCUAGGAGAUCCUCAAGAAUUGCAUCGAUCGGUCUCAAGCAUCUGAAGGUCAAAGUAAUCAGUCCACAAGUUAAAGUUGCCAGAGUCAAAGUUAAGUCAGAAGAAGCUAUGAAAAACCAAUGAAUCAAUCUCAUUUUCUUGCUAGCCUCUUCUUGAAUCUCGAGGGCGAGAUUCUGUUAAGGGGGUUAGAUUUGUAACACCCUGAAUUUGGGAGUAUAAAAUUUCUUUUCUAAUAUUCACCAAAUUCUGGUGUUACCCUCUUCUUUACUUGUUUUUCUUCUUUUUUUUCUUCUAAAUAAUGGAUAGUAAUUUUAUUAUAUGUAUAAGUUUUUAGCGUAGUAAAAUAAAAUCCUGAAGAAGCUUUGAUUGUUGCAUUCAUGUCGUUGCAUAGUGUUUAUAAGUGCAAAGGUUUUCAAACUAUAUCGAAUUAUCUUGUUUAUGUUUCCGCAAAAUUUUCAGGAACCUUCGAAACGUUUCUUCGAGUAUUAAAUAUUAAUUUCAGUUUUUUCUAAUAUUAAUUAAAUACCUAAAAUGUGGCAGUUGCGAAAACUAUAAAAUUUUGGAAACUCGAUAUUAUAUAUAUAUAUAUAUAUUUCUUCCGCUCGUCGAACCUGUUCCAGAUCUCGUGCCCUUUUUCGCGAGAUCACCGAACCGUGUCUUCUUGCGAACGGCACGCUGGUCGCGUCGGCGAUCCUCGUUUAUCCCCGCCUACCCCUUUGGCGUCCACCUCGUCAUCUUGGACCUGCGGGCCAGCUCUGACCAUCUUCGUCUAAUUUUAUCUAACCCUGUCUUCUACCCGUCUGACUCAGUCCCCGUCUUACACUGUCUCGCGCACUUCAUCGCGCAACCGUCUCCUUCGCUUGGCCAGAACGCGAUCCGCGACGAAUUUGACAAUCCUCUCCCACGUCCGCUCUUUUUAUAUAAAUCCAUCCGGCCCUCGCAUAACCUAUCGUCCGUGCCCCACGCCGUGCUAGGUUGUUGCGCUUUGGGCUCCACUUAUCAGCCGCACAAGAGCCUUCCUCGCUUCUACAUCAGGCCGUGGGUCCCGCUUGCCUUUCCUCCCGUGGAAACCACCCAUCCCGCAUGAACCGGCCAGUGGCCACGGCGCACGAUCCCAAUAACCACCCACCCUGGUUGCCCGCUUAUGAGACCUCGACAUCCAAACGUCGGUGGCCGAGCGAGUAGCCCCAGCCUCUAGCGUCUACCUCCCCUCGUCACGUUGUAGCACCAUAUGAAGCCGCACGCCCGUGUUGGUCCCUACCGCAAAUUGUCGUCGGCCAGGCCGUCGUUGAGCACCGCGUGCCGGAGCUUCACCAGGAGGCAUCCACGAGCUCUCUCCGUCAGGCUGUGUCGUGAGGUGAGAAGUCUGGCACAUCCUUCUUCGUUUUCUUUACGGCGCGGCAGCCUGCGUUGCGGCCUGUCUCCCAGCCGUUGUGCCCCACAUGCCCCGACUGCAUCCCGCCUUGCGAUGCCAUCUUCCUUGCGCGGCAGCGACACGGAGCAGGGUGGUCGUGCUCCAGCCAUGGCCAGCCCUCUGCGGCCGUGCCCCAGCCAUGGCGCAACCCGCGUGGCCGCCCCCUCGCUCAGCCAGCCAGCCGCGGUGGCACGGCCAUGGCCCCUGCUCCCCUGCUUUGGCGAGCCCGCCCAGACCAGCGAGGCUAUCUUCCCCAUCCAAGCCCCCUGCCAUGGUCGACCCCCCCCUUCUCCCAUUACGGCUCCACUGUGGAAGAAGAAAACUAGAGAAGGAAGGGAACCGUCUGUGCGUGCGUUUAGAGAAAAAAUUGCUAGGCCACAUUGGAUCCCACCUCUGUUGAUCUUUUUUCUGUGGCUAUACACUACGUGACCAUCCAUGUGGCAAGUCUCCUGCCAAUAAAAACGAGCCAGUGAGCCACAUUGCCUAUAAUCCGCGACGUACUAAAAACCCAAUAUCUUUUACAUCAUAAUUUCGUUCGAAUCCGUUUCCAUCGCGUUAAUUUUAUAAUAACGUCGUGUACAUGUUAGUAACAUUAUUUUGGUCGUGAUACACAUUUUAGUUAAUUAGUUGAUUAUUUAUUUAUCCGAGUUAUUAAAGUAGUAAUUUACUCAAACUAAUUUAUAGUUUUAGUCGCGUUUUAUGGAUAUCUGUUAAUAUGAUUAUAUCUAUACAAAUGUUUUUGAAUUAAUACUUAUUUAGUAUAAACAUGAUAUCUGUUAGCAUAUCUCAUGUGUCGUGUGCGUCGUCGCACUGCCUGCGCGUUGUUCGCACGUGUGGCGCUCGUCGCUAUCGUGCUGUUUCACGCGUCGUAAAUUCGCAUCGCUUAGAAGAUCUCGAGUUAAUUAAAUUACUUAUUUAUUUGAUAGUUGUUGGCAUUAUAGACUAAUUAAAGCUAGGUGAUAACUCUAGUUGCAUUAAAUAAAUAUCAAAUAAUGUGAGUACGUCGAAUUAAAUGUUCUAACUAAUACUUUUUAGAGUAAACACGAUAUCCUCUCGAUCGCAGCUUCGCCUACUGAGCUUCUUUUCCUCGUUUGACCGCGGUAGCAAGCUCUAUUUCGUAUUGCACGUUUUUUAUAAUGGUUUCCUUUGUAUGGUGUAAUGUUCUUAUGCAUAUAUGUUUGUUUGCUUGUGCCUGUUUGUCUUUGCCGCGCGUCGCGAAUAGACUGUGAUCCAUUUCUGAGCUUCGAGGAAUUGACGGUCAAGUUUCGGCGACCAAGUGAUCUAGCUCUUCGAGUUCCACGAAGUAGAAGACCCUGAGCAUCUGUUUGGUGAAGGCAAGUGUCCUCUGACCCAUUAUGUCCUAUUCACUUAUAAUUCACUUUCCCGCAGUAUUUAAUUGAAAUCUAAGGAUUGACUAGCUUUAUACUUUACCUUAUCCUUGAUGACCUUUUGGGUGAUUAUGGUUAGCAUUUUGCUAUUGCCUUAAUUUAAUCAAUGAACAUGAUGUGACUAUUUAUGAUACGAUACUGUUAUCCUGAUUAUAUUGUUGAUCUGGUGAUACUCUAGGGGGCUCAGGCUGUUUCCUGAGUACCUCUCCGUAAGGACCUGUUCGUUGAGAGACCACCCGGGAUAACAGUGCAACCAUGAGGGUGGAAUGGGGUGCCCUUAGCUAAUUAAUUAGAGGAACUAGAAGUGUAGUUGCUUCGCCGUCGUGCCGUCAAUGGGGUCCAGGCACAGUGCUUGCUCUGCCGAGGCUGAGUGCCGAGGUUCUUUCGUUUUGUCUUUUUAGUCACCCUCCUGCGGGGAGAGGUACUGUGUUUAUCAAACUGGAGAAACCUAACGGGCAACUAUGACCUCUAGGGAAUCUUUGUAAAGGCUUCGUAGUGAAUCCCUGGCCAUUCACCUUGGGAGUGAAUAAGGGUCUUGCAAGCCCGGGCUAGAGAGGGAAUCACGGCUCAUGGGUAAAGUGUGCGACCUCUGCAGAGGGUAAUGAAACUGAUAUAUCAGCCGUGCUCACGGUUAAGAGUAGCCUUGGGAUCCUCUUUGAUUAGAGAUACAUAUGAUCUGAGAUACAAUGGUUAUGUUUAUGGUUUUGGCUCGAUGAUGAUAAUGAUGUUUUCUCGAUGAGGAAAUGGUUCACGGGUUGGCUAUUACUAAAACUUGGCUUCCACUAAUAAUAAAUACUUGACCAACUAAAAGCAACUGCUAGAGCUUAACCCCACAUAAAGCUAGUCCACCUCAGCCAAACAGGACAUUUGCUGAGUACGUUGAUGUGUACUCACCCUUGCUUUCACAAAACACCAGGUUGCCUUUGGUGCAAUCUAUGCACCGGUA
rnacentral:lncRNA from 1 species